UGGGGAAUAUUGCACAAUGGGCGCAAGCCUGAUGCAGCCAUGCCGCGUGUAUGAAGAAGGCCUUCGGGUUGUAAAGUACUUUCAGCGGGGAGGAAGGGAGUAAAGUUAAUACCUUUGCUCAUUGACGUUACCCGCAGAAGAAGCACCGGCUAACUCCGUGCCAGCAGCCGCGGUAAUACGGAGGGUGCAAGCGUUAAUCGGAAUUACUGGGCGUAAAGCGCACGCAGGCGGUUUGUUAAGUCAGAUGUGAAAUCCCCGGGCUCAGCCUGGGAACUGCAUCUGAUACUGGCAAGCUUGAGUCUCGUAGAGGGGGGUAGAAUUCCAGGUGUAGCGGUGAAAUGCGUAGAGAUCUGGAGGAAUACCGGUGGCGAAGGCGGCCCCCUGGACGAAGACUGACGCUCAGGUGCGAAAGCGUGGGGAGCAAACAGG
rnacentral:rRNA from 1 species